rnacentral:misc_RNA from 1 species
GAAGGAUGAAUUCAUGAGUCGAUGUUACGAGACGAUGUAACGCGACGUAACGGAAGGACAGGCUGUUGUGGACUUUGAAAUACGAGUCCGAUACUUCAUCGAUGGCUAAAUGGACAUGUUCGGCGCAGAUAGAUAUCGUCUAUUUAAACGAGGAGGGAAGAACCGCGUCACUCUUGGCACAGUUUUAAACGAUUCACGGCCGCACUUGGUUCCAUUCAUCGGCCGACGAUAAACGAUCGCACACUGUUUAACGAUCCUUGGCACGAUCGCUGCGAGACGUUGGAUCGACUCAUCGUCCAGGUCGGACGAUAUCCGGAAAGUGGAACGAGGUCAAACACGCCGUGCAACUACGCAAGUUGUGGAUCCACCGCUGCGUACCACCGAUCGUCGAGCACGAACCAACGUCGACCAACGAUCAGAGGUUUGCCAAGGUCACCAACGACCGACCGUCCGCUUCUCUUCGCGUUCGCACACGACCGAUCGGACGUCUUUCGCAGGACGAACAAGAUCCUAGAGGCACAACACGAUUCGUAGAGCGAGGACACGAGCGACGAAGGCACGACGCGACGCCACGCCACGCCACGCGAUGCGAUGCGAUGCGAAACGAUACGGAACGAAAGGCGAGAACGGAAGAAUGACACACACGUGGUCGAGGAGGAGAGUGGCCGGCCAGAGCCGGCCGGCGGCCGACUGAAAUCACCCGGGGGGUCUUCGAGUCCUUGGACUCUGCCGAUAGAGAGACGAUGGUAGAUGUACCACUCUACGGUUCGCCUCCACCUUCGUCGAGGAUACACUCUCUCUCCGUAGGAGAGGAGAGAGUGUCUAUGGAUGGAUGGCUUGCUGGCUGGCUCGCUAGCUGGCUGGCUGGCUGGCUGGCUGGCUGGCUGGCUGGCUGGCUGGUUGGCUUGGCUGACUCGCUGGCUGGAUAGAUGGAUGGAUGGAUGGAUGGAUGA